rnacentral:rRNA from 1 species
GACGAACGCUGGCGGCGUGCUUAACACAUGCAAGUCGAACGGAAAGGCCCUGCUUUUGUGGGGUGCUCGAGUGGCGAACGGGUGAGUAACACGUGAGUAACCUGCCCUUGACUUUGGGAUAACUUCAGGAAACUGGGGCUAAUACCGGAUAGGAGCUCCUGCUGCAUGGUGGGGGUUGGAAAGUUUCGGCGGUUGGGGAUGGACUCGCGGCUUAUCAGCUUGUUGGUGGGGUAGUGGCUUACCAAGGCUUUGACGGGUAGCCGGCCUGAGAGGGUGACCGGCCACAUUGGGACUGAGAUACGGCCCAGACUCCUACGGGAGGCAGCAGUGGAGAAUAUUACACAGUGGGCGGAAGCCUGAUGCAGCAACGCCGCGUGCGGGAUGACGGCCUUCGGGUUGUAAACCGCUUUCGCCUGUGACGAAGCGUGAGUGACGGUAAUGGGUAAAGAAGCACCGGCUAACUACGUG